UCUAAACCCUAAUCAGUUUUUGUUUUUGCCGGCCGUCGCCCCCAACUCUCCGCUUUCUCUCCCUUUUAAUCAAUAAAUCCUAACAAUCGUCUUCAAGCACUGACUAUUCACCUGUGAAUUUGUAUAUUCUUUCCAUUUUCGAACCCUUUUUUCACUUUCUUUUUCAUCCUUGUCAUCUAAUGUUAGAUUUGGAUUAAAAAUACAUAGAUUUGAGAGGACAUUUCGACAACAAUUGGUCCAAAAGAGGAAAGAAAAUGAAGAUAUCGGGAUAUGGAUCAAAUUAUUUAACUACUAGUUAAAUAGGGGGAAAACGAAUAAGAAGAUUACAAAGUGGAGAAUCGAACUCUCACCAACAAGGUUUCAGAAUUUCAGGAAAGCGGAGUGCUUUCUCCUCAAGAGCAUGAAUCGGAGCUUCAAAAUUCAACUGAGUAAGAAGCCGAAGAUGAAGAUGGCUGCCAAAUUGGCCGUUAUAACAGGCAUUUUCAAUUAGCACAGGAUACACAAGGACGCUCAAGGGAAGGAAUUUGAGUCAAGUAAGGGACUCAGUUCUAAGGAUGACUGGUUUUAUCGAAACGUGACAUUAAUUAGAAGUAGAGGAAUAUUAGUUAGCAAGAAAAAAAUAGGUAUAGAAAAGAGACAAAAAAAAUUAUUUUUUUCCUUAUUUUUUUCUUAGUAAAUGUAACAUUGAUGGACUACCAAUUCCAUUUCUCCAUCACUGUACUAGAAAGUUGAAAAUUUUGAUGAUGAUUUAGUUUAUUUGAUUCUCGAAAAAAUUGUACAUGUUAUUAGGUUCAUAGGGAGAAUAUUA